CUUGAAAUCACUACCAAUUUCCUUAUUCACGAACUUAAUUAUUCGCUGUUCGAUUAAAUCUUUGCUCAUUUUUAAAAAAAAUUUUAAACUAUAAAAGCCUGAAUAAACAAAUAAAAUCUAAAGACAAAACAUAGGUGAAUAAAUCGAUAUUUUACGUUUAACCCUUAUACGGCGCCGAGUUAUUCGCUGAAUAUCUACUACAGAUUAAAGAUGAUGAUGUUACGGCAAUUGACGUGGCAUAAUCUUUGAAUGCCUUUGAAAAAACGCUGAAAAUGCGGAAAGAAGAUGAUUUUUUAUCACCAGCUACAGUAGCAGAGAAGCAAAGACUUAUUGAUUAGGGAUACAUUUCCGAGGAGAUGGCUGCUAAUCACUCUGCUCUCGCCUAUUUCCAUCUACGGACAGCACCAUAUAAAUCGCUGAAAAUCUUUGGUUGGGCAUCAUUGAAAGAAACACCAAAAUGUCUAAAUAGUUAUGAACAACUUGAGCGAAAACCAUCUGUGCGAUGCCUAUAAAAAAAACCAUAGAUUUGCACUAGCAACUCCAAUAUGUUAAAAACUACUGUACGAGUGAAAAAAUCUAGUAGUGGAAAGAUGGCUGUUUCGAUUGUGAAUCGUCGGUGGAAAUAUUCACUUACCUCGAAAACGUCGAUUGCGAAUAUAAAGAAAUGUCUACCAACGUUGAAUUUACUUUAUCCUUGCCAGCAAUUCAGCAUCGGUGCUGCAGUAAACAAAACAUGGACGUCAGACAAAACUCGAUUGGAUAUGGAAACAUUGAAGGCGAU